GUCUUGAAACACUAAGUGUCAUAGAGAACAAACCUGCAGCUGUUGACGAUGAAGAUAUGAAUCCAACUUAAUACCGGAAGAAUAGGCAAAAGCAUUUUGCAACUGAUAAAGCAGAAGGGAGAAACCCAUAUCCACACAAAUUCCAUGUCAUUAUGUCUAUCGAACAAUAUAUCAAGGAAUAUGAAGGUUUAAGCGACGGACAACACCUUCAUGAUGUUUCUGUGUCUUUGGCUGAUUUCAGGGGCGGGGCUAUAAAGUGUUUGAGAUCUAAGCAUCACCAUGACAAGUGGUUGAAAGCUACUGGAAAGUAUGAGCUCAAGGUUCUCAAUGCCUGACUAUUUGGGCCUCUGUCCGAAGAUUUACUGAUCCAAGUAAUUUCAGGCUCUGCUGUUAGAUUUCUUCUACCAAUAAACGAUACAAAGGGCUUCGUUUUUGGCAUAAACACUCUUUCUCUGGCAAGAAACUGUCGGUUUUAUAAAAUAUCAGGAUGCACUUAAAAAUUCAAGUAGCGGACAGUAGCGGUUUGUUCAAAUUUCGCUAGGCUAUGCAUGCAUCACUGUGUGAAAAUAAGCGGUUAUGCAGCAACAGGUGGUGGUAGAGGAAUUGAGAGAUGAAAGCCUCAAGAUUUCAAAAAAAGGACAUUCACUAUAUAUCAGAUAAUGCCAAUAGUGAGAAAUGGGCUUGGGUGCUAUUUGAGAUCACCACUGAUAUUCUUCACAGCACAAAGAUUAUUGCUAAAAGCAUUAAGGCUAAUAAUAUUAAUGUUCUGAAGCUGAAAGUGAGUAUUUUGAAUACGACUCUAAUUCUGAUUGAGAUUCUCCAGGUUUGUAAAAUCUCGAGUUUGGGUUUCUUCAUACAUCAAAACUGUAUAUAUUGUAGUAGUCAUCUAUUCAUAUAAAGGGUUUGAUUUGUUAGAAAUAUAAGGAAGUUUUUCAUGCACAAGAAGGACUUUUCUGAUUGAUUAUCCUGAAAAUCGUCUACAACCAUAUUGUUUGUACUUCCUGCAGGCAGUUCUUGAUUACAAGCAAAUAACUCAACAGGUGGUCCAGUUGUUUGAUCACAUUUAUUAGCUGCCUCCCUGACUGUUGCUACUAAUUCUUUCUGGCAUUGGUUAUCUGCAAGUCUUCCUCCAAUACAAAUCUUAGCAGAAUUCUUAUCUAUGUAUGUAUGAUUGUUAGCAAACUGAACAUUAGAAACUCCAUUACUUUCACAGCCUGUACCAAUAAAAAAACUUUUACUUGAAUUGCACUUUUUGAAAUACUAUACUUUUUGUUACAUGGAAGGGUGAAACUGCUAAUAUUUUAUUUCUUAAUUGAUACUGCUUGUGACAAGCUUUCUUACACUACUUCUUCUUUCUUGUGAUAGACUUACUGUUUGGCAAUCUGCAUAAAGUACAUAUUCAAUUCUUGAUAGUACUGUAAAGGCCAAACUUUCAAGUAUUCUUUAAUAGCUUUCAAGAACAUCUUUCCUUUCAUCAUGCCAACAUUGUGACUGAAAAGCCUCAAGGAUCAAGUUGUAAACAUGAUAUGAUCUUACCCGGUUUAAUUGGAUUUUGCUUAUAUCUAAUGAAGAUUGUGGAAGCCAUAUAUAUCUAUGGUUAAAGAGAAGCAAAAUGGUUUCAGCUCUUUUCAAGGAGUUCCCUUCAAGAGGCUAUAAAGUUUUGGUUAUGUACCACAUGCCCUGCCGGUGAUGCAGGUUACGUACCAAGCAAGUUGCAAGUUGCAACUUGGCUUUUUCAGUGGUUAUGCUACUAUUCUUAAGAAUUCAAGAUUCUUAAGUAUUGCUCAAAAUUUGUUAGCUGAGUUUUGCUGUUCAAAAGUUUUGUCAAUAUGCAAUGUUUCAGAAACUGAAGCUGCUUCUAUAGAAAGUCUUUCAUGUUCUUCAUCAUCAUCUAUGUUAUGAAGUGGGAUAACUGAAAUGACAUCGAUAUAUUGCAUUUAUUCUUUGCCGGAUCUUUUGACGGAUACGUUGUUACAGCCUUUGAGGGUAUUUUUAAGGUCGCAGAAUAUUGCCAGAUCUUUCCCAUGAUUUGCUUUUAUUCUGUUCAAAAUGAAUGGCUAUCACAAGCAUGCCGGUUCCAAGGGCUCCUCCUACUAAUAGCAAAGAUAUGUGUUUGAUGUAAUAUCUAUAUUUGUCACUACAAUGGUAUGCAUUUUAUUCAAUUCAAUUACGUGCUUAUUGCAUAAGUGCUUAUUACAGUUAGCUGUCUC